rnacentral:lncRNA from 1 species
CAUAGUUUAGGGUAGCAUGUUCUGAACCCCAUCAAUUUCCCCUUAAAGUGGUUGUUUUUUGAACUUUACAUAACAGUAACUUCUUGAGAAGAUGGUCAUGUAUUUACGUAUAUAUUUGGGACACUCUUUUCUCAGAGCCUUUGAAACACCUGCAACUACCAGAGGAGUUUUUUUUUUUUUGAAACGGAGUCUCCCUCUGUCGCCUAGGCUGGAGUGCAGUGGCGUGACCUCGGCUCACUGCAACCCAGAGGUGUCAGUUCUUACAGGUUCCUUACACAGCAUGAGUUUGAAGCUUAGGGUAUUGAUUGGCCCUGCCUGAAGCGUUAGUGAGAAACCGUGGGCUUUGAACCUCGGCAGGGCUGUGAACCAAGAGCAGAUGCUGCAGUUCUUCUCCUCAAGGCCUCCAAAAAAGCGUCAUGAGAAAUAAAGGAACUGUGCAGCCAGGGGCAAAAUGCCUCCCGCAACUCCAGGGGCGCCAUUCACAGGAAGCCAGCGUGGACGCCCCUGUGCAGGCCUCUGGGAGCAAGAAAGCUUUUUUCCAAGAUAUGGGGAUGGACAAUUUUCCUGAGGCGCAGACCUUAGGGAGCUUCCCGGGAGAAAGGCUGUUUCCUGUCUUGGGCGUGGAAGCGGAUCCGCCCCCUGAGUCUGAGAGGACAUGGCGGUCGGUAAACAGGACUUAAUUCUGUUCCUCAUCCACCCAGAACCCUCCCUGAGGGCCUCCCCUGCACUUUGGAAACAGCCCAAGCUUUGAAAUCAGGAAGUUUGAAGACUGGUUCUGCUACUUCCAGGCUGUGUGGCCUUGGCGAAGAUGUUUUUGCUGUGUUGCCUGGGCUGGUCUCAAACUCUUGGCCUCAAGUCAUCCUCCCACCUCAGCCUCCUGAGUACGAGGGAUUACAAGCAUGAGCCACCACACCCA